AAAGAAAAUAACAAUGAUUCCCCUAGUAACUGCGAGUGAAGAGGGACAAGCUCAAAUUUUAAAUCUGUUAGGUUUACCUAACCGAGUUGUAAUUUGAAGAGGCGUUUUCUGUGUUUCUGAUCAGCCCAAGUCCUUUGGGAUAGGGCAUCAUGGAGGGUGAGAAUCCCGUUCGGUUGAUCAGAUUCGCUUUACGAUACGUCAUCUAAGAGUCAAGUUGUUUGGGAUUGCAGCUUAAAAUGGGAGGUAAAUUUCUCCUAAGGCUAAAUAUUGGCGAGAGACCGAUAGCGAACAAGUACCGUGAGGGAAAGAUGAAAAGUACUUUGAAAAGAGAGUUAAAUAGCACGUGAAAUUGUUGAAAGGGAAACGAUUGAAGCCAGUCGUACCUACGGACAAUCAGCCUUUCGGGUGCGAUUAUGUGGAGCGUGAGGAGUUAAACGCCUUCAUGCCUGCGUAUUUGUACUCUGGGGUGUACUUGGACGUGCGGUAGGUUAACAUCAAUUUCGGAUGUCAUAAAAUGGCUGGAGGAAUGUAGCUUCGGUCUCGUACUGAAGUGUUAUAGCCUUUGGUAGAUGUGAUGACCGGGAUUGAGGAUUGCAACGAAUACCUUUUGGGUUAUCCGCCUGAUCUCUGAAAGUUGCUCUGGUGCCGAAAGCUUGCUUACGGUUAUCAAAGUUGACGUUCAAAAGGUUAGAACGGGUUAAAUUCGUUAAGGAUGUUG
rnacentral:rRNA from 1 species